CGCCCGGCCGCCCUGAUCCGCCCCCGCCGCCGCUUAAAGUCUCCGGGUAGCCGCGGCUUUAGAGUUGCCGACGCAGCUGGGCGGGAGAGAGCGGCGGACUCGGCGUCCCGCUCUCCAGGCGUCCCGGCUCCGGCAGCACUGAGGGGCGCUUCUGGUCCAGCCCUCCCGGCUCGGGGUUCCCUGCCGAGGCGCCAGCGCCCCCAGGGUCCCCGCCGCGGCCCGGUUGCCGAGGCAUGGAUAGAGCGGAGCCCUCCUUGCCCUUCCCAGCUCUUCUCUCGAGGCCUUGCCCAGUCCUUCCUGAAGCCUGGCUUUGUUGACCACUCUCAUUUCCUUCUCCUGGUCUUUUGAUCCCAACGGUAGUUUUCUUUUGGUUGGUUGUGUUUUGUGUUGGCUUUUGCUGUAUUCUCUUGCAGGCAUUUCUGGUGCAAGUCGCUUUUUGCUGGCUGAUUUAGUCCCUGAGUUUGGCCUCCACAACACAAUCGUGAUGUCGCUAUGGGAAAGGGCCCCUCAAGUACUUGGUAGGACAUUGAGGCAUGCAUUGAUAACUCCAGGAUGUGCAGGACUCUGGGGGAGGAUGACAUAUUCACAUCCUGACUCCAUUCCUUGCCAGCUCUGUGAUCCUGGGCAAGUUCUUUAACUGUCAACUUCAGUUUUCUUGUUAGUUAAAAGGGGAUAAGAGUAGGUUCAUUUUGGAUUCUUUCAAGAGCCAGGAUACAGAAGGAGUGCUCAUCAGUGCCUGGUACUUAGAAUGAGUUCCGUGCAGUGUUGUUGUUUUUUUUUUUAGCCACCCUUUCACAUGGCAUUACUCUAAAACAUUUUUUUUUGUGUUUCCCUAUUAUCUUCCUUUUGGUCAUUUGAAUUGCCACGUGAUAGUGGAUCUGUGGAUCUGUGUAAUUUGGCAAAGCAUUUUCCUUGUUAUUGGAUGUUUUGGCUGUGUCCAGAUGUCUGCAGUUAUAAACAGUAUGAAUGGAAUCAUCUUUAUACAGGCGCUUUAUUUUCGUUCCUAUUCUUAUUUGUUUUCUUGGGGUAAUUCCCAGGAAUGGAAUUACUGGGUCAAAGAGCAUGGAGAUGGGGAAAGAGAGAGAGAGAGAGAGAGUGUGUGUGUGUGUGUGUGUGCGCGUGUGUGUGGGGGAGAGAGAGAGAGAGAGAGAGAGAGACAGAUAAGACUUGGCAAACUGUUCUCCAUUUUUUUUUCUUUUUUGAGGAGAUGAAGUCUCUCUCUGUUGCCUAGGUUGGAGUGCAGUGGCAGGAUCUCGGCUCACUGCAACCUGCAUCUCCCAGAUUCAAGUGAUCCUUCUGUCUCAGCCUCCUGAGUAGCUGGGCUUACAGGUGCACACCACCACACCCAGCUAAUUUUUUGUAUUUUUAGUAGAGAAAGGGUUUCACCAUGUUGGCCAGGCUAGUCUCAAACUCCUGACCUCAGGUGAUCCGCUUGCCUCGGCCUCCCAAAUUGUUGGGAUUACAGAUGUGACCCACUGCACCUAGCCCCUCCAUUUUAACUCCUUUUGAGUGAUGGCUGCUUUAAAAAUUAUACUCCUGGACAGAGACUAUGUCCUCCAGGCUGGAGUACAGCGGCACAAUCUCAGGUCACUGCAACCUCCGCCUUUCAGGUUCAAGUGAUCCUCAUGCUGCGUCCUGAAUAGCUGGGAGCACAGUUACGGCCAACGUGAAGUAGACUUGCCCGUGUUUUUUGGGACAGGGUCUCGCAGUGUUGUCCAGGCCGGAGUUCAGUGGCACCAUCAUGGCUCACUGCAGCCUCUCUCUACCUCUCUGGCUCACCUUCAGCCUUCCAAAUAUCUGGGACCAUAGCUGUAUUCCACCAUGCCCAGCUGGUGCCCAGUUUCAGGUAGCAAGAUUCUGACAGCAGUUCUCUCAGUUAACUUCUCAGUGAUGAUAACUUUAUGAGCCCACGUAGGGCUCAUAAGCCUAGAUAAUAAGGCCCAGAGUCACACAGUAACUGGCAGAGCUGAAUUGUCUGAAUUUCCAUUUGUGUUCAUUUCAUUUCCCCCUUUAGCAAUGUGCUUGAUCUUGGGUCUUGUCCAGAGCAGAAAGAUAAUACAAGGCUUGGAUAAUGCUCAGCAUUUUUGAAGAAGUAAUGCUGAGUGGAAAUGGAUUUGGCAAGUCUUGUUUCUCACACCAUUGGAAUGGGAGUCCCUCACAGUUGCAGACAGGAUGAAGUAUCAGAGUGUGGGGAUCUGGAUUAACAGUCGGCCAUUUGCAGAAAGGAAGCUGCAAAGCAAGAGUACCCAGUAGGGACUGGGCACUUUUCUCAGCUCUGGAGAAAAUGGCAGUGAACAAAAUGGACAAGACCAUAGACCUUGUGGACCUCACGCUUUAGUGUCGGGAGGAGACAUUCAGAUGACAAGAAAGGAUACAGCUGGAAAAGAGCUUUGGAAGCCAAGGAACAGCUCACGUGGAAGCCGAAGGGGAGUGAGCCCAGGUUGUUGGAAAACGCUGGCGCCAGAGGUAAAAAGCAGUGCGCUCCGGGCCUUGGACAUCAGCUUCGUUGUCUGCAACCGUCUCAUAUGGAAAAACCCACACUUGCAGAAAUCAUUGAGGAGUCUAUCCAGGCCCUAAUUUCCACUGUCCUAACAGAAGCUGCCAUGACAGUCAGUGGAACGCUUGUUAUGCAAUGGGAAAUGUAUUUAGAAAUCCUGCCCUUCCAUUAGCGACAGCCCCAUGGACCUCCCAGGCCUACAGCACCCUGACAUCAGUCGUGACAUCAUGCAAGGACUUCAAAGUGCACGUCAGAUCUACCACCGCCCUUUCCGUCCCAGGCAAGAGAGACCAGUAUGGGUCUGUUGACCAGUAUGCUCGGAUUGGAUCUGGAAUACAUUGGUCACCGCCUUACAGAAGAGUGAAGACACUACAGUCUUUUUGGAAUUCAAGUACUCUGCCAGCCUACAGACCCAAAUCUGCCAGGCACUCAUUUACUUCCUGAGGUUGGCCAGUGCCUCAGACUUGCUUUAUAUCAAAGAAACCCUUGAACUGAAUGGGAAUAUGCUCCAGUCCUAUAUCCUACAGUUUCUAAAAUAAGAAGCAGAGGGAGAUGACACCGGAGCACCCGCUAGCCCCCAGGAAAGAGACCAAAUGGUCAGAAUGGCCCUGAAGUGCAGGGGCAGUGUCCAGGCACCGACUGGAGACACAGCCAGAAGGGCCAUCAUGGGCUUUGUAGAAGAGAUCCUGGCCAUUUGUUUUGACUCAUCUGGAUCACAAGGGGCACUCCCAGGGUUAACAAGUCAGUGAAGAUCCCACCAUAAUUUCUAGGUGUCGAAGGUGGCAAUAGGGAGCUUGAGCAUAAGAUAUGUGGGAUUUCAUCUUAAGGGCAGAAACAAUCCAUUCGCUAUUUAUUUGGAAUCACUUGGCAGCGAUUUAAAUUUUCACAGAGAGCUCAGCCACCUUGGGAGUGGCUCCACAGCACUGACCAUGGUCAGGCUUGUUGGAACCUCUGACCUGUGCAUUCAGGAGCCGAGGAGUCAGGUUGUAUUAGGGGCCAAGCAGACAGGGGCUUUGAGGGCGUUUAGUCUCAGAAAAAAAAAAAAAAGAAGGCAGAGGAUUUAGGAGUUAGAAUGUUAUAUAUUGUAUCUGUAGUUUUGUAAUAAACUAA